GACGAACGCUGGCGGCGUGCUUAACACAUGCAAGUCGAACGGAAAGGCCCUGCUUUUGUGGGGUGCUCGAGUGGCGAACGGGUGAGUAACACGUGAGUAACCUGCCCUUGACUUUGGGAUAACUUCAGGAAACUGGGGCUAAUACCGGAUAGGAGCUCCUGCUGCAUGGUGGGGGUUGGAAAGUUUCGGCGGUUGGGGAUGGACUCGCGGCUUAUCAGCUUGUUGGUGGGGUAGGGGCUUACCAAGGCUUUGACGGGUAGCCGGCCUGAGAGGGUGACCGGCGACAUUGGGACUGAGAUACGGCCCAGACUCCUACGGGAGGCAGCAGUGGGGAAUAUUGCACAAUGGGCGGAAGCCUGAUGCAGCAACGCCGCGUGCGGGAUGACGGCCUUCGGGUUGUAAACCGCUUUCGCCUGUGACGAAGCGUGAGUGACGGUAAUGGGUAAAGAAGCACCGGCUAACUACGUG
rnacentral:rRNA from 1 species